GAUGAACGCUGGCGGCGUGCCUAAUACAUGCAAGUCGAGCGAACUGAUUAGAAGCUUGCUUCUAUGACGUUAGCGGCGGACGGGUGAGUAACACGUGGGCAACCUGCCUGUAAGACUGGGAUAACUUCGGGAAACCGAAGCUAAUACCGGAUAGGAUCAUCUCCUUCAUGGGAGAUGAUUGAAAGAUGGUUUCGGCUAUCACUUACAGAUGGGCCCGCGGUGCAUUAGCUAGUUGGUGAGGUAACGGCUCACCAAGGCAACGAUGCAUAGCCGCCCUGAGGGGGGGCUCGGCCCCACUGGGACGGAGGCACGGCCCAGACUCCUACGGGGGGCAGCAGGAGGGAAUCUUCCGCAAUGGACGAAAGUCUGACGGAGCAACGCCGCGUGGGUGAUGAAGGCUUUCGGGUCGUAAAACUCUGUUGUUAGGGAAGAACAAGUACAAGAGUAACUGCUUGUACCUUGACGGUACCUAACCAGAAAGCCACGGCCAACUACGUGCCAGCAGCCGCAGUAAUAC
rnacentral:rRNA from 1 species